rnacentral:rRNA from 1 species
GAUGAACGCUGGCGGCGUGCCUAAUACAUGCCAGUCGAGCGAACAGACGAGGAGCUUGCUCCUCUGACGUUAGCGGCGGACGGGUGAGUAACACGUGGAUAACCUACCUAUAAGACUGGGAUAACUUCGGGAAACCGGAGCUAAUACCGGAUAAUAUAUUGAACCGCAUGGUUCAAUAGUGAAAGACGGUUUUGCUGUCACUUAUAGAUGGAUCCGCGCCGCAUUAGCUAGUUGGUAAGGUAACGGCUUACCAAGGCAACGAUGCGUAGCCGACCUGAGAGAGUGAUCGGCCACACGGGAGCGGAGACACGGUCCAGACUCCUAAGGGAGGCAGCAGUAGGGAAUCUUCCGCAAUGGGCGAAAGCCUGACGGAGCAACGCCGCGUGAGUGAUGAAGGUCUUCGGAGCGUAAAACUCUGUUAUUAGGGAAGAACAAAUGUGUAAGUAACUAUGCACGUCUUGACGGUACCUAAUCAGAAAGCCACGGCUAACUACGUG